rnacentral:lncRNA from 1 species
CAGCUAGACUCAGUUUAGAUGAUCCCAAUUUUGUUGGCAACAUCCAAAGCAUCAUAGUCAGGAGCCAGUCAAACAUAUGCUUUCUUUUCUCCAUCGGGCCUGAUCAGAAUGUUGACCCUGGCCAUGUCAAUGUCGUAGAGCUUCUUCACAGCCUGUUUGAUCUGGUGCUUGUUGGCCUUGACAUCUGCAAUGAACACAAGAGUGUUGUUGUCUAUUUUCUUCGUGGCUGAGUCGGUAGUCACGGGGAACUUGAUGAUGGCAUAAUGGUCAAGCUUGUUUUUCCUGGGGGCACCCUCUCAAGGCUAUUCGGGCUGUCUUCGGAGACGCAGUGUCUUGGAUGGUCGGAAUGUAGGUGAUGUGCGGAUUUUCUUUUUUUUAUGACUGUGGAUGCCUUUCAGCACUGCUUUCUUGGCCUUCAAAGCCUUUGCUUUGGCUUCGGCUUUGGGAGGGGCAGGGGCUUCCUUCUUCGCCUUCGGCGCCAUCUUCGUGAAAGGGG